CCCGCUCCUCCAGCGGGCUCCCCGGGCUGGGCUGGGCUGACCGAGCCGCCCUGCCCGCCGCCGCCCCUCACCGUGUAGUAGGAGAGGAGCCCGGCGUUGUAGUCCAGCACGAACCAGCGGUACUGCCAGCCCUUCAUCACGUUGGUCCAUUUGCUCAGCGGGCCCUCCAUGAUAGACGCCAUCUUAGGCACCGAGCCGCGCGCGCCCCGCCCGUGCGGUGAGGGGAGCACAGGGCACAGGCACGGCGGCGGCCGGCAGAGGAGGGGCGGGGCACGCAGCGAGGGGGCGGGGGCAAGGGCUCGCUGCCCCUCCCCAGCGGGCGGGGCUAACGGCUGCCGGGCAGGCGGGGCGCUGUGAGGAGGCGGCCCCCAGGGGGGGGGCGGGGUCUCCUCAGGGCUGUGGGGAGGGAGGGAAGGGCGCGACGUCGCGUUUCGGUCGCUGAGUUGGGCGUUUUUCUGUCAGAUAGAAUAAAUGGUGCUGCUGCCUGUGGUGGUGUGGUUGUCUCUGAGCCCCUCUGCCUGCACAAAGCUCCCCUCUGCCCCUCAGGGCUCUCCAGUCAACGCCAAGGUUCAGGGCGUCCCCUGAAGGGGCUCCGUGUCCAGGGCGUGUUAAAAACAUCCAGGGCUUGAGGUGAAAAUCGCAGUCUCGUUUGGCACUGAAGUAACCUUUUAUGGGCAAGGCUCAUUUAAAUGGGACACAGCUUUCCUGCGGGCCGAUCCAAGAAUGUGGAAUGAAUUCCCCAGGAGCUAUGGACAAUCGUAAAUCUCUGGCUAAAUUAGGGUGCUUACUGUCAUCUGAGAGGAUUACAUAUUACAGAGAUCAACAGAGCCAAGCAGAAAGCAGCAGCUGUUACCUGGUGCUGCCCUUGUUCUGCUCCAUCACUGCUCCACCAGCUGCAAAUCUUGUCCAGCCUCAUUCUCUUGCCACACCAAGGCCUCAAGUAAGUAAUUUUGCUGGGGUGUCCUAGCCACAAGGCUCUACAAUGCCCAUUAAGUGCCCUUCAAAGUACUCAGACUGUCCCAGCAAGAAUGUAGUGGGAAACCUCAGAUAUGCCCAAUCCUUACUGUGUUUUCUGGGACUUCUCAACUUCCACCCUACUUUUUUCAUUUGGUCUAUUUUCUUUACCUGUGUCAAAGCUUGUCCAGUGAAUUGCAUCUGUUGUUUUUUUUUGUUUUGUUUUCUUGUUUUUGUUUUUUGGUCAUUGCAGUUUAAUUGUGUAUGGUUUCUAGCCAAGAGGAAGACACUGCUGAUUUAGGAUAAAUACCAGUGGACCAGAGUAGAGGGACCGAGAAGCAGGAGUAUACCAAAGGAAAGUCUGAUGCUUUGAGGGCGAAAACGCUUUUGUAUUGUAAAUUUGCCUGAAAUUAUAGCUGAGCUAACUUUGAAGAACCUCGGUGCUGGCUGAA
rnacentral:lncRNA from 1 species